rnacentral:rRNA from 1 species
GUCUACGGUCAUACCACCCAGAACACGCCUGAUCUUCUCUGAUCUCGAAAGCUAAGCAGAGUCGGGCCUGGUUAGUACUUGGAUGGGGGACUGCCUGGGAAUACCGGGUGCCACAGGCA